rnacentral:misc_RNA from 1 species
AACGCACAUUGCGCCCGCUGGUAUUCCGGCGGGCAUGCCUGUUCGAGCGUCAUUAUGACCAAUCAAGCUCUGCUUGGUUUUGUGGUCCGCUAUACCAGCGGCCUUUAAAAUCAGUGGCGGUGCCGUCUGGCUCUAAGCGUAGUAAUACUUCUCGCUAUAGAGUUUUAGACGUCCACCCGUCAGAAUCUUCAACUUUCUUAGGUUGACCUCGGAUCAGGUAGGGAUACCCGCUGAACUUAA